rnacentral:piRNA from 1 species
UUUUCCAGAAAUACAUUCCUC